GACAGAGGCCCCAAGCGUUAGGCGGAAUCACUGGGCUUAAAGCGUGUGUAGGCGGAUCGUUAAGUGUCUUGUGAAAUCCCACGGCUCACCCGUGGAACUGCUGGGCAUACUGGCGAUCUUGGGCCAACUAGGGGCAGCCGGAACAAGCGGUGUAGCGGUGAAAUGCGUAGAUAUCUGGAGGAACACCGGUGGCGAAGGCGGCUACCUGGACGGCUAUUGACGCUGAGACGCGAAAGCGUGGGGAGCAAACAGG
rnacentral:rRNA from 1 species